CGUAGGGUGCGAGCGUUAAUCGGAAUUACUGGGCGUAAAGCGUGCGCAGGCGGUUUAGUAAGACAGGCGUGAAAUCCCCGGGCUCAACCUGGGAACUGCGCUUGUGACUGCUAAGCUGGAGUACGGCAGAGGGGGGUGGAAUUCCACGUGUAGCAGUGAAAUGCGUAGAGAUGUGGAGGAACACCAAUGGCGAAGGCAGCCCCCUGGGUCGAUACUGACGCUCAUGCACGAAAGCGUGGGUAGCAAACAGGAUUAGAUACCCUGGUAGUCCACGCCCUAAACGAUGUCAACUAGGUGUUGGGAGGGUAAAACCUUUUAGUACCGGAGCUAACGCGUGAAGUUGACCGCCUGGGGAGUACGGCCGCAAGGUUA
rnacentral:rRNA from 1 species